AAUAAGGGAUAAUUUGUAAAAAUU
rnacentral:piRNA from 1 species